GGAGUUCCUGCCAUGUGACAAGAAGGGCAGCCUGGUGAAGAAGCUUUGUUUUUUUCAAGCUGGGAAGAAGUGACUGAUGAAGGAGAUAAGGUUAAACUGUUUUGUUUUGUUUUGUGUAAUCAGGGUAAAAGCAAGAACACAAGGUCACCAGUAAGUGGCUGGCAGAUAUGGAGGAUAUGCCGACCGGAUUUGCCAAAGAAUGAAGUUCUGUGGCAGCCCGGCCUCAAGUAAGUCUCCAACAGAAUUUGCUCACUUCGUGUCUCUGCGUCACAUUUUGGUAAUUCUCAUAAUAUUUCAAAUUUUGUCAUAUGUGUGACGAUGAUCUAGGCCUAGUGAUCCUUGAUGUUGUCUGGGGCCACCACAAACCAUGCCCGAGUGAGAGGAGAACUUAAUAAUUGUGUAUGUCUGGCUUCACUCCAUCUCUCUCCCUCUUCUCACACUUUCCUAUUCCCCAAGACACAACAGUAGUCAAGAUAGGCCGAGGAAUCACCAUUCAAGUGAAAAAAAGAGUUACACAUCUCUCACUUUAAACUGAAAGCUAGACAUGAUUAAGCUUAACUGAGGAGAACAUGCAGAAAGCCAAGACGGGCCUCUUGUGGCGAACAGCUGAGUUGUGAAAGCAAAGGAGAAAUUCUUGAAGGAAAUUUAACGUGCUACUGCAGUGAAUGCAUGAAUGAUAAGAAUGUGAAAGAGCCCGAUUGCUGGUGUGGAGAAAGUCUGAGUGGCCUGGACAGAAGACGAAACCAGCCACAACAUCCCCUUCAGCCAAAGCCUGUGCCAGACCAAGGCCCUCACUCUCUUCAAUGCUGGGAAGGCUGAGGGAGGUGAGGAAGCUGCAGAGGAAGGUCUGAAACUGCGGAGGUUGGUUCGUGAGCUUUCAGGUAAGAAGCCAUCUCAUCACUCAGAGAGCAAGGUGAAGCAGCCAGUGCCGAUGGAGAAGCUGCAGCAAACCAUCCAGAAGAUCUGGCUAGGGUCGCUGACGAAGGUGGUGGCCCUAAACAGCAUAUUUUUGAUGUAGGGGAACCUACCAGGCUCCAACUGGAAGAAGAGGCCAUCUAGGACUUUCACAGCCAGAGAGGAGAAGUCGAUGCCAGCCUUCAAGGCUUCAAAGGAUUGGCUGACUCUCUUGUUAGGGGCUAAGGCAGCUGGUGGCUUGAAGUUGAAGCCAGUGCCCAUUUGCCAGUCCAGAAGUCCCAGGGCCUUUAAGAAUUAUGCUCUGCCUGUGCUCUGUAAAUGGAACUACAAAGCCGGGAUGACAGCAUAUCUGUUGAGAACAUGGUUUACUGAAUAUUUAAAGCUCACUCUUGAGACUUAGUGCUCCAAAAUAAAUGACUCCUUUCAAAAUAUUCCUGCUUAUCGACAAUGCGCCUGGCCACCCAAGAGCUCUGAUGGAGAGGUACAAAUUGAUGAAUGUUGUUUUCACACCUGCUAACCUAACAUCCGUUCUGAAGCCUAUAGAUCAAGAAGUCAUUUCAACUUUUAGGUCAAGAAAGAAAUAGAUUUCAUAAGCCUAGAGCUGCCAGAGACAGUAUUCCUCUGAUGCAUCUGGACAAAGUCAACUGAAAACCUUCUGGAAUGGAUUCACCAUUCUACACAUCCUUCAGAACAUUCCUGAUUCAAGGGAAGAGAUCAAAAUAUCAACAUGAACAGAAGUUUGAAAGAAACCAAUUCCCACCCUCAUGGAUGACAUUGAGGAUCUCAGAACUCUGGUGGAGGAAGGAAACUGCGGAUGUGGGGAAACAGCAAGAGAAGUAGAAUCAGAAGGGGAGCCUGAAGAUGCGGCUGCACUGGGACCAUCUCGGGAUCCAACUUAAAUGAAGAGCUGCUUCUUACAGAGGAGCAAAGACCAUGGUUUCUUGAGAUGAAGAUGCCAGUGAAGACUGAUGAGAUGACAACAGAGGGCUUAGAAUGUGACAUGCCUUAGUUGAUAAGGCAGUGACAGGGUUUGAGAGGAUGAACUCCAAUUUUGAAAGACGUCCUCCUUGGGUAAAAUGCUAUCAAACGGCAUCAGGUGCUACAGAGAACUUGCUCAUGAAAGGAAGUCAACCAAUGCAGCCAAUUUCAUUGUUAUCUUAAGGUACUACAGCUGCAGGCAUCCCGGUCCCCAGCACCCACCACCCUGACCCGUCACCUGCCAUCAAGAAGAAGGCAAGACCCUCCACCAGCAAAAAGAUUAUUCACUCAAAGCUCAGAUCAUGGUUAGCAGCCUUAGCAAUAAAGAAUGUUUAAAUUAAAGUUAUUUGCUGACAAAGCAGAUGGACAUUGUGUGCUAUGAGCCGAAAUGGAGCCCAUGCUUUGAAGUGUGCUAAGUCAUUCUGAUCCUGGCAAAAGUUAACGUAUAGUUUCCCUGGGAGCCCAGAGCGGGGCCCACAAGUAUGAAAGGUGUCGCAGUUUGGAUACACCACAUACCUAGCAAGUAUAUAAAGCAUACACUUUGAUAUUUCAUGUUAUAGAGAUGUGUAUCAGUGUUACAAAUGCUUUAUGUACUAAAAAAAUAAUUCUAUAUUUCCAGAAAAAACGUGUUAAUUGUUCUCUACUCUGAUUCCAGCUGCAUGUUGAUCUGUUUCCUGUAAGAAUGGGGGAGGAAAAGGAAAUGUUACUUCUAAAAAAGAUUUUGAAAAGAAAUAUUUAUUUAUUUAGAGGAAGAGAGAGAGAGUGCUUGAGGAAACAGGGGGAGGGGCAGAAGAAGAGGGAGGGAGGGAGAGAAUCUUCAAGCCUACUAUCCCCUGAGUGUAGAGCCCAACUCAGGGCUGGAUUCCAGGACCCUGAGAUCAUCACCUGAGCUGAAACCAACAUCUGUACGCUUAACUGAGUGAGCCACCAAGUGCCUCUAAAAAAGAAUAUUUUUAAAUUAGCUGCAAUGUAAGGUAUGAAACCAUAAAACUCCUAGGAGAAAAUAUACAGGAUGAAUUCCUUGACACUUGUCUUGACAAUGACUUUUUUUUUGGAUUUGACACCAAAAGCAAGGGCAACAAAAACAAGAACAAACAAGUGGGACUACUUCAAACUAAAAGAUUUCCAUACCAUGAUGGUAAAGGAAAUCAUCACCAAAAAUGGGUUUCCUAUGGAAUAGUAUGAAAAGGUAUGAGAGGGUAAUCUAUUAAAUGGGGGAAAAUAUGUGCAUAUUAUACAUCUGAUACAGAUUUAUAUAAAUAUAAAGAGCUCAUACAACUAAAUAGCAAACAAUCCAAUUUAAAAAAUGGGCAGAGGGGGCGCCUGGGUGGCUCAGUGGGUUAAGCCGCUGCCUUCGGCUCAGGUCAUGAUCUCAGGGUCCUGGGAUCGAGUCCCGCAUCGGGCUCUCUGCUCAGCAGGGAGCCUGCUUCCUCCUCUCUCUCUCUCUCUGCCUGCUUGUGAUCUCUCUCUGUCAAAUAAAUAAAUAAAAUCUUUAAAAAAAAAUGGGCAGAGGAACUAAGCAGACAUAUCUCCAAAGAAGACAUCCAGAUGUCCAACAGGUACAUGAAAAGAUGCUCAGCCUCACUAUUCAUCAGGGAAAUGCAGAUCAAAACCACAAGGAGAUAUCAACUCAUAACUGUUAGAAUGGCUUCUUUCAAAAAAAAUAAGAAAUCCCAAGUGUUGGCAAGAAGGUAAAGAAAAGGGAAUCCCUGUGCACUCAGAGGGAUUGUAAAUUGGUGAAACCAUAUCAUCCAGUAAUUCCACUUCUGGACACAUAUCCAAGGUAAAUGAAAUCAGUCUCUCAAAAAGAUAUCUGCACCACUGUGCUCAUUGCAGUGUUAUUUACAAUAGCCAAGACAUGGAAACAACCUAAGUACCCUCUGAUGGCUAAAUGGAUAAAGCAAAUGUCACACACACACACACACACACACACACACACACACACACACACAGGAAUAUUAUUCAGCCACGAAAAAGAAGGAAAUCCAGCCAUUUGUGACAACAUGGAAGGACCUUGAGGGCACUAUGCUAAUGAAGUAAGUCAGACAGAGAAAGACAAAUAUUCUAUGAUCUCACUUAUGUAGAGAAUCUAAAACAAAAGGGGGGAAACCCCAAAUUCAUAGAUACAAGAAGAGAUUAGUGGUUGCCAGAGGUGGCGGAUGGAGCAGGGGUGAGUGAAAUGCAUAAAGAUGGUCAAAGUUCCAGGUAUAAGAAAUAAAUCUUGGGGUACCUGGGUGGCUCAGUCAGUUGAACCCCAGAUUCUUGGUUUACUCGGUUCAUGAUCUCCACGUCCUGGGAUUGAGCCACUAGUCAGCUCUAUGAUUAGUGCAGAGUCGGCUUCAGGAUUCUCUCUCUCCCUAAUAAAUUUUUUUAAAUCUUAAGAAUUUUUCAAAAAAUUUAAUUUUGGGGGGUAUAAUUGCAGCAUGAUGACUAUACUUUUUAAAAAGGAAAGAACAGACCCCACGUACCAUACAAACACAAUUCCACCAUAUAAUAUUUUCCUAAUUAUAUAAGAAAACACAUUCAUUGUAGAAAAUUUUUAAAUUACUAGAUAUAUCUCCAAAUAAUAAGUAAAACCCACCUACAAUGCUAGAGCCUAUUUUCAACAUGUUAGAGUGUAGAUCACUUGGAGCUCUUCUACUCACCAGGACCCAGUGGAAGGUGGAUUAUGGCUCAGGAUGAUACGGUCGGUAGGAUUCAGGGGCCUGUCUCCGGCGUCUGCCGCCUCCACCCUCAGUAAUGCCGUAGCCUCAAGGCCCCUCUGAGGACUGCAGCAGAAUCGAGGGUGGGAGACGUGGGCUCCCCAGUGUCGCUCUGCCCCUCCUGGAGUGCUGCUGUCCCAGGGGAUUCCUGGAGCCUGCUGUGGCACCCAGCCCUAGCUCCACACCCAUGGCCCUGGUUCAGGUCCAGUUUCAUGUGUUCUCGGGGCUGGAACUGUCCCAGCCCCACUUUUGCAGAUGAGAAAAUAGAAGCAGAGAAAUGAGACUUCCUGUGAGAGGCUGGGACAGUUCCUGCCCUCCUGGGCUGCUUUGCUGAUCACUGUCCUGUUGGGAACCUUGGUUUCCACGCAGCACCACAGAAGGCGAGGUUUGGAGGUAUUAAUACUGACCUCAGACCUGGGUUCUUUCCUUGGCUGGUUGCAAGAACUUGUUCAAGUUAUUUAACCUUUGGGGCCUCAGAUCCCUCCUGGUUUAUUCACUGCUGAGGAUCCAAGUAAAACCACCUGGGUAAAACACCGCAGUGCAAAGCAGGUGUUCAGUAAACAUUUACGAGUGGGUGAGACCAACACUUUCCUAGAAUUAAACCCUGGGGUAUUUUAGGUUGUAGAUCCUUACAAGAAGCACCACAUGACAGAAGAGAAAUGUCUUCUGGUACAAUCUCAUAAGAGACAUGGAAGCAUUAUUCAGGCGACUGUGCCUUUUACUAAAAUUGUAUGUUGAGUGACCCUUCAAAGGCAACUUGACAGCUAAGUGAAGGCAUUCUGGGAGAGCUCUGAGAGCAGCAAGUGUGUGUCUUCUACAUGCCCUAUGACUUCUGACAUGGUUAAGUUCUGUGUGAUAGGUCUCCAACAGAUAAGAGCACUGGUGUUCUCUGUUAUGAUUUACUAUUGAUGUUAUCUGAUAGUUCUCCAGAGAAAGGGCAGACAGACACCUUGAAACCUGGACACUUGGCGACUAUUAUGCUACAUGACAUACAGCAGAGUGGACAAUGCUGACAACAGGGAGGGGGAUGCCAGCCACCUAACCAGCAGUCCGCCGACCAGCAACCCCUUCGAGCCCUCUUUCCUCUUCUCAAGCUACUCAUCGUAUCACUUCUUCAGUCCCAGCCUCUCCCCACGGCUUGGGCACGAUGGGGAAAGUGGACCAGCAACGGAAAGGAAAUACGAAUCCCAUCAGUUAGGUUCUGAUCGCAUCCACACAGUUCAUGGAUGAAGUCCUUGCAGCUGUCCCCAAAACACAGCACAGGUCUCCCCACUGAACCUCACACAUCAGUAGACUCGACAGUCGCUGAGCACAGUGAUCACGUUUCUAGCAAGUAACACAAGUGGCCACAGAAACCUUAGCCACCUUUUCUCUAAUACUUGCAGUAGAACAACAACAACAAAAAAAUCAGUAUUUACAGCUCAGGAAGUUGUUUUAGAUGACACCACCAUGAAGAGAAUCUCUCUAAUCAUUUCUGGCCCCUGGUCACCACUUCAGGAGUUCAGAGAAACUGGAUGUUGUCCAUCUAAAUGCAUGUGUGACCACAGAUCCCUAUGACUGUGGGCUGCGCUAGAAAAAGCCACAGGGCUGGGCAAGGGGACCUGUUUCUCACUGGUCUGAGCUAACGCUCUCCCAGCUCUGUGCUGGCUUCUGGAGUGCUUGCCGCAUGUGUGGGGCUAGAGCUCUCUGCAGGGGUCUCCAAGACCUGCUCCCCCGGCACCCCAUAAACUGUGUCACCCUGGCCUCUCACUAAUGUGCCACAGACCAGAGAAGAGAGAGGCACCAUGAGUCCUCCUGUUCCUGCAGGAGAGCCACAUUCUGCCCAAAGUGAGGACCUGGGGUCCUGGCAGGUGUGAGGGUGGAGGGGACCACACCGCUCUAAGCAGCGGGACUGGCUAAGUGGCUGGCGCUGGCCCUGCCAAUGAGAGCACAGGACUGCCUGAAUGGCAGUUUCCAGUCCUCAGAAACAUUUGAGACGUGAACACAGACACAUACAGGAGUCCAGGACACAGCAUCCCCAAAUCGAGCCUUUUAUUUUUGGACUGUCACCCAAGGUCACUUUGCAUUGUAGGCACAUUGUGAAGAGUCAGGAAAAGCAGGCCAGCAGGAGAAAGAAAGAGGACACCAUUUGGGGCUGACAUGUCCUUACGGGGAGGAGAAGCGGCCACAGAACAGGAUGCUGUUGGUCUUGCUGUGCUGGAUGAAGAAGAGGAAGGGGUGGUCGGCACAGAACCGGGGCACGAUUCUCGCACACCGCAACAACAUGAUGGCCGCGGUGGCUGCUGCGGCCUCCGUGCCUUCCUCGUUCACCUCCACGAAGGCCUUGUGCACCACCCUGGACAGAUACAGGUCUUUCCCGGAAGACAUCCCAGAGAAAUCUGCCUUGGCCGGCUCAAAGGCAUCAGUUAUGCCCAGAGAGCAAAGGACAUUCUUCAUGUCGUAAUCCUCCGCCAGUUUAAAUCUAGGGAGGAAAACUUCCACCUCUUCUUCGUCCAGCAUGUCUGGCCUCGUCCACUCUGCGAAUUUCUCAUAAGUGAGUUCUUUCUCCACCUAGAAGAGAGUUGAAGAUGUUCAGAUCUAGAACCCUGCUGCCCCCAGGGAACCAUGUGCUGGGCUGUGAACGCUCUGGGCAGUGCACGACGAGGUGACAGGAACGGGACGUCACGCGACCUUCAGAGGCAGCCCCCACAGCCCCUCCUGGCAAGCGCCAGGACUGCCCAGUGCUCCUUACCGUCCUCAGAUCCAUGUUUUCAUCUGGAAGCAUGAUGAUCAUGUUCAGCUCUUUGCCCACAUAGGGGAGCACCAGAAUUUUGGUGAAUAUUUCUCCUAUAUAGGUCAUUUGAAAGGUAGAUUUUUUAAACAUCAUCUGUACAGGUUUCUCCUCAUUCUAUAAAGGAAACAGGUAAACAUUAAGUUGAAACCAGACCCAGUGGACACAUGGGUCAAAUGGACAGAAUCAGCCAGUGGGACUUCUAUAAACACUUCCUCGGCUGGCUUCUGGAACACUACCUCGGCCCCCUCUUCUGCCGGCCCAUCUCCAUUGCCUCAGCCUCCAAACACUGGGGUAUUUAGAACUCAGUCCUUACACUGCUUGUCUCUCGGUUAUCUCAACCUUGUGACUUUAAACAGAAAUACCAAACGUGUACUUGUAGCCGGGACUCCUCCCCUGCACUCCAGACAGUUACGUUCCUGUGUGUCGUGCUUACUUGGCAACUGCAUUUGGACAGUGAAGGAACCUCCAAUGUCAUAUGUCACACUGGGCUCCUCACAGGCCCUUCCAGGUCUGCUCCACCCACCAUGUUCCCCAUCUCAGGUGACAGCAAUGCCACUCACCCCACCGUCAAACACUCUGGAGUAUUCCUGACUCCUGUCUUUCACCCCACAAUGGACUCAUUAGCAAGUCGUAUCAGCUCUGCUUUUAAAAUAUUAUCACAAAUGAGAUCAAAUCACUCUUGGGUUGAGCACCUUUCUGUGGUUCUCCUCUACUCCAAGGGAGUAAAAAAGCUGAAGCCCUUAAAGCAAUCUGUGACAUGACAAGAGCUCAUCCCCCACGCUCUCUGCUCCUAUCUCCCUUUGCCUGUCUGCUACAGUCACAGGGGCCCCUGGAUGGUUCCACUGACCCCAGAACCUGGAUGGCAUGCACCCUUGGGUUAUUCUGGUCUUUGCUCAGUAAGGGCUGCACCCUGAAACCGUAUCCCCAGCCCCAGGUUGGAUCCUUCCCCUGUGUCUGUCUCGGAAUUACUACCGGGGUCCCAUACAGUCCUAUUUUCCCAGGCAAGCCCACUCUCUCGCCCCCAGGAAAACAGCAGCUUCAUGAGAGAAAGCGUCACCAGUUUUGCGCGCACUGUGAUGGGACCAGGCACAGUGCCUGGCCCCCAGCCAGCACGGGUUGAACAAAUGGAUUGACAACUACAGGACCAGGCAAAACGAACACAUCCUACCAGGAGAACAGUGCACUCGUCACCAAUGCACCCUGAGCCAGGCAGUAAGAAAGACCCGGGGCAGUGACUGCAUCCUAGCCAGCAGCCCCCCCCAACUUCCAACUUGCGUGCAAGUAUGAGAUCCACAGUGCUGUGAACUGGCCAAGCCCCAGGCUGCAGUCCCCGGGUCUCUUGGCAGCACAUGACUCUAUGUCACAAUCAAGAAACUUUGGUUUCGGCUUUGCUCCUGUGCCUUGCCCAUGCACGCCUGAACUGGCCGGAGCCAUGCCUGCGCCCUCAUUCCUCAGCAUCCCAUUCACCUCCAGGGCCAGCCAUCAGCACCCUUUUUCUCUAACAGGCCAGAUAGUAUAUAUUUUCAACUCUAUGGACCAUACAGUUUCUGUCCCAACUACUCAACUCUAUAGUUGCAGCAUGAAACACAUAAGUAAGUAUGGCUAUGUUGCAUUAAAAUUUAUUAAAAAAAAAAAUGGUAGACUGGCUUUGGCCUCGGGCUGCAGUUUGCUGACCCCUGUCUGAGGCAGUUUCUCCUUCUACCCAUCCAGGACCCAAAGCCCCCAGUCUCACAAUAUGAAAGGAUCUAACCUCAGUAACUGAAUGAUUCGUGAAGUAUACAAUUAUGGAGAGAAGCUUCAUCUUACUUAGAAACAAAGGAAUUUUAAGAAUCUACAGGAACUCAAAAUCUGUUUACUUGCAGGCACAACCCCCAGCCUGACAAGCUGGUGGGCUCAACACCUGCUGUGCUCCUGCCUUUCUCUACUGGAGAGAUGAGGAAGCAAGCUAGACGUCCUCACCUCCCUGCAGCCAGCAGAGGCCGUACGUAAGUAAUUGGGGCUAUGAGACACAGAAGUGAGGUUUCUCACUCUGAAUAAGACGUCAGAGCCCCAAAGGAGAGGACUUUUGCUCUCGCCCUUCAUGCUCUCCCUCCCUUCCCCAUGGAUGGUGGCUGCCAUGACCAUGACCGCAGAUGAGGGUCGCACGCUAGGCAUGGCAGAGCAGGAAGACGGGGAGCUGGUUCCCAGCGGCCCCACUCUCAGCUCGCCCACAGGCCUCUCCUAGGGGAGAUGAACUUUCCACGAAUCAAGUCCAAACAUACAUCUUAUUAAAGAUGAAUUUCAAGGAGAGAAAUCAUUUCCCCAGGUGAAAAUAGGGCAAUUCAUUUCAGAAUAAAGCUCAAAGGAAAAUAUGUUUCUUGAGAAACUGAAAGUUGAGGCUCCUGUCUGCUUAGAAGAUCCAACUCCUGGUCAAUGAUCAGGAAUGGGAUGUAACUAAUCUAUUCGGUCUACUUAGAUGUAUGUGCAAAAAUCUCUACAAUUAAAGAUAAGUAAAAAAGAAAGAAUAUACUAGAUUCAGUGACAGAAAAGGUAAAAGGCCACCAGCAAAUAACAUCUUUGAAGCUGGAGACAGCUCAACUUGCUGUCUAUUCUAUAUACGUGUCCUUUUGUUUUGCUUGUUUUUAAAACAAAAAUUAGUGUUUGUUCUCCUUAUUAUCAAAAGAAGGCUGCAGAUCAGUCAUUUGUUCAGAGUUCACUGAGCACAACUACAUGCCCAGCACCAGUGAGACAGCCUUGGCCCUUCAACCACCGCAAUGCCGCCACGGGUACCAGCAGGGGGCGCUGCAGCUGCUGAGAGGAAGGAUACAGAAAUCCCCACUGGGAGGAUGGCCAGGGAAGGCUUCCAGAUGCUGCUGGAAGACAGAACACCUGGCAACCGUAGCCUAUGAGUAUGCAGCUACCUUUGAUGACACAGCAAAGGAGAAGGACAAGGCACGCUGGUGAGCCCGGCUGCCCAACUGCCUGAGGAUGGACAGGGCACAAGUUAGCUUGUGAGGUGAGCAUUCCUGCAUGUUUUUAAAACCAGUGUGAACACAGGGACUGUCUCCAAGAAUCUUUGUUAUUCCAAAAUAUUCACCU